rnacentral:tRNA from 1 species
CCUUUUAAAGGGUUACAGAGACCCGUCGUCCUUAGAAGACGACAUUCUUGGUGCAAUUCCAAGUAAAAGUA